ensembl:misc_RNA Metazoa_SRP Metazoan signal recognition particle RNA
GCCGGGCGUGGUGGCUCAUGCCUGUAAUCCCAGCACUUUGGGAGGCCGAGGCGGGUGGAUCACCUGAGGUCAGGAGUUCCAGACCAGCCUGACCAACAAGGUGAAACCCCGUCUCUA